GCCUAGUUAGCUUAGUUGGUAGUGCGUCUGCCUUGUAAGCGUUAGGCCGCUGGUUCGAUUCCCGCCCGGGGCG
rfam:Asian citrus Psyllid, Diaphorina citri - Florida Strain, whole genome shotgun sequence.